UCUUAAAGGAAGAUAGUGCAGGAGAUUGCAGUUCUGGGCACCUGCUUUCUGGCCUUGGCAGAACACGAUGCACUUUGAAUGGGGGAGAAUCUUUCCUUGGGCAGAUGAUAGCGUGUGCUGCUGACUGAGCCAGCUAUGGCAGUUGAGUGCAGAGCUGUAGCUUGAGGAAAUGCAUGUGCUCCAUGGGGAAUGUGCCUCUCAAGCCAGGACAAUGGGGGAAGAGAUCAUGGGGUGUAAGUCUGAAGAGACAUCAGUGCUAUGGACAGCCUAAUGGCUGACUACUGUAUAACCAGAUGCAUGGCCACUCCAUAACAGCCCAUAAGCCCUGCCCACGUACCCAGCGGUUCACUCUGAGCUCUGUUCAUGCAGUCUUUAAGUCGUGAUACCCUGUCUCUUCUUUUGCCUUCAUCAGAAAGCUCAACUACAACUACUGUGGAAUCAUCUACCAUAUCUGGAUCACCAGCAACAGAAACCACACCUACAAGUCCUGGGAACAGUUCUGCCAUCUCUACAACACCAUCAACAGACGGAAAUACAACUGCGUCAACUGGGAAUGCUACUAUGGUCCCUUCUUCACCAGUAACACAAGGUAAUUAUGAAAAUUCCCUUCAGCCCUCUGUGCGAGCAAUCCUCAGUUGCAGGAGCUACAGAGAGCACAAGCAGCACUGUGUCUUCCUGCCCAGAGGGUACACACUUAUCAAGAAAUGCAGGAAGUUGUUGUGCUUCUUUGGAGCCUGGUCAAAGAAGGAACACACAGUGGUUCCCCAAUGGUAUAGUGAAGAAGUGCAGGGAGUUAUUGCAAGGCAAUGCAUGAUUGCCCAUGGCUGA
rnacentral:lncRNA from 1 species